rnacentral:rRNA from 1 species
UACGUAGGGUGCGAGCGUUGUCCGGAAUUACUGGGCGUAAAGAGUUCGUAGGCGGUUUGUUACGUCGUUUGUGAAAACUCACAGCUCAACUGUGAGCCUGCAGGCGAUACGGGCAGACUUGAGUACUGCAGGGGAGACUGGAAUUCCUGGUGUAGCGGUGAAAUGCGCAGAUAUCAGGAGGAACACCCGGUGGCGAAGGCGGGUCUCU